GAUGAACGCUGGCGGCGUGCCUAAUACAUGCAAGUCGAGCGAACGUACGAGAAGCUUUCUUCUCUGAUGUUAGCGGCGGACGGGUGAGUAACACUUGGAUAACCUACCUAUAAGACUGGGAUAACUUCGGGAAACCGGAGCUAAUACCGGAUGAUAUUUUGAACCGCAUGGUUCAAAAGUGAAAGACGGUCUUGCUGUCACUUAUAGAUGGAUCCGCGCUGCAUUAGCUAGUUGGUAAGGUAACGGCUUACCAAGGCAACGAUGCAUAGCCGACCUGAGAGGGUGAUCGGCCACACUGGAACUGAGACACGGUCCAGACUCCUACGGGAGGCAGCAGUAGGGAAGCUUCCGCAAUGGGCGAAAGCCUGACGGAGCAACGACGCGUGAGUGAUGAAGGUCUUCGGAUCGUAAAAAUCUGUUAUUAGGGAAGAACAUAUGUGUAAGUAACUGUGCACAUCUUGACGGUACCUAAUCAGAAAGCCACGGCUAACUACGUG
rnacentral:rRNA from 1 species